rnacentral:ncRNA from 4 species
UACGAAGGGGGCUAGCGUUGUUCGGAAUCACUGGGCGUAAAGCGCACGUAGGCGGACCAUUAAGUCAGGGGUGAAAGCCUGGAGCUCAACUCCAGAACUGCCUUUGAUACUGAUGGUCUCGAGUUCGGAAGAGGUUGGUGGAACUGCGAGUGUAGAGGUGAAAUUCGUAGAUAUUCGCAAGAACACCAGUGGCGAAGGCGGCCAACUGGUCCGAUACUGACGCUGAGGUGCGAAAGCGUGGGGAGCAAACAGG